AGCAGCACUGGUGCUGGGGCUUCUUCUCCUGAAGGGGCUGCAAGAGGGAAGACUUAGCCAUGUCAUCCUUGAUCAAAAGGGUGAUCAGCACCGCAAAAGCUCCAGGGGCCAUUGGACCCUACAGUCAAGCUGUGUUAGUCAACAGGACCAUUUACAUUUCAAGACAGAUAGGCAUGGACCCUUCAAGUGGACAGCUUGUGUCAGGAGGGAUAGCAGAAGAAGCUAAACAAGCUCUUAAAAACAUGGGUGAAAUUCUGAAAGCUGCAGGCUAUGACUUCACUAAUGUGGUGAAAACAGCUGUUCUUCUGGCUGACAUAAACGACUUCAAUACUGUCAAUGAAGUCUACAAACAGUAUUUCAAGAGUAAUUUUCCUGCUAGAGCUGCUUACCAAGUUGCUGCUUUGCCCAAAGGUAGCCAAAUUGAAAGUGAAGCAGUAGCUGUCCAAGCACCGCUGACAACAGCAUCACUAUAAGUGGGCCAGUGCUUUGAAGUCCGGAAUUGUCAACAUUUUAAUAUCUACAACUGAUGUAACAUCUUAAUUAACCUUUUAAUUUCCACAAUUGAUGACAGUGUGAGCUUGAUGAAAAUAUCUGAAGUUAUUAUGGAAAUACCAUAUAAUAGGGAGAGUUAAACAUGAAUUGAAGAUUAGAGAAGGAAUCCAGUUACUGUUUUAAAUUACACCUGUAUUACUGAAUAUAGGAAAGAGAUACCCAUUACAUAGUUACUCAAUAAAUAAAAGAGAAAUAACAGGUAGGAAAGAAGAGUAAUUAUUCCUGAGAAAUAAUCAAGAACAUCUCUAAUUCAAACUAAUGAUGUGAAUGAUUUAGUUUUCAUGUCAGGUAUGUGAUUCUGCUUCUACUUGAAUAAAAUUUAAGUGUUUAAAUUUGAGGUCAAGGAGAAGAAAGUGGACCAAAAUUUAAUAUGGAUAAUAUUUUUCUAAUGGAAAUAAAACAGACUUGCAGAUUUCAAAAAAAAAAAA